rnacentral:rRNA from 1 species
GAUGAACGCUGGCGGCGUGCCUAAUACAUGCAAGUCGAACGGUAACAGGUCUUCGGAUGCUGACGAGUGGCGAACGGGUGAGUAAUACAUCGGAACGUGCCUAGUAGUGGGGGAUAACUACUCGAAAGAGUGGCUAAUACCGCAUGAGAUCUACGGAUGAAAGCAGGGGAUCGCAAGACCUUGUGCUACUAGAGCGGCCGAUGGCAGAUUAGGUAGUUGGUGGGAUAAAAGCUUGCCAAGCCGACGAUCUGUAGCUGGUCUGAGAGGACGAUCAGCCACACUGGGACUGAGACACGGCCCAGACUCCUACGGGAGGCAGCAGUGGGGAAUUUUGGACAAUGGGCGAAAGCCUGAUCCAGCCAUUCCGCGUGCAGGAUGAAGGCCUUCGGGUUGUAAACUGCUUUUGUACGGAACGAAACGGCUCUCUCUAAUACAGGGGGCUAAUGACGGUACCGCAAGAAUAAGCACCGGCUAACUACGUGCCAGCCGCCGCCGUAA